UAACUCCGGUUGAUCCUGCCGGACCCCACUGCUAUCGGGAUGGGACUAAGACAUGCUAGUCGAGCGUCUCCAAGCUAUGGAAGAGACGCGGCACACAGCUCAGUAACACGUGGCUAACCUGCCCUUGGGACAAGGACAACUCCGGGAAACUGGGGCUAAUCCCUGAUAAGUGAGAACUCCUGGAAUGGAUUCUCGCUCAAAGGACGUUUAGACCAUGCUUCUAGGCGUCGCCCAAGGAGGGGGCCGCGACCGAUCAGGUUGUUGGUGAGGUAACGGCUCACCAAGCCUUUAACCGGUACGGGCCGUGAGAGCGGAAGCCCGGAGAUGGGCACUGAGACAAGGGCCCAGGCCCUACGGGGCGCAGCAGUCG
rnacentral:rRNA from 1 species